rnacentral:rRNA from 1 species
UAAGCAUAUCAAUAAGCGGAGGAAAAGAAACCAACAGGGAUUGCCCUAGUAACGGCGAGUGAAGCGGCAACAGCUCAAAUUUGAAAUCUGGCUUCGGCCCGAGUUGUAAUUUGCAGAGGAAGCUUUAGGCGCGGCACCUUCUGAGUCCCCUGGAACGGGGCGCCAUAGAGGGUGAGAGCCCCGUAUAGUUGGAUGCCUAGCCUGUGUAAAGCUCCUUCGACGAGUCGAGUAGUUUGGGAAUGCUGCUCAAAAUGGGAGGUAAAUUUCUUCUAAAGCUAAAUACCGGCCAGAGACCGAUAGCGCACAAGUAGAGUGAUCGAAAGAUGAAAAGCACUUUGAAAAGAGGGUUAAAUAGCACGUGAAAUUGUUGAAAGGGAAGCGCUUGUGACCAGACUUGCGCCGGGCUGAUCAUCCGGUGUUCUCACCGGUGCACUCUGCCCGGCUCAGGCCAGCAUCGGUUCUCGCGGGGGGAUAAAGGCCCUGGGAACGUAGCUCCUCCGGGAGUGUUAUAGCCCGGGGCGCAAUGCCCUCGCGGGGACCGAGGUUCGCGCAUCUGCAAGGAUGCUGGCGUAAUGGUCAUCAGCGACCCGUCUUGAAACACGGACCAAGGAGUCAAGGUUUUGCGCGAGUGUUUGGGUGUAAAACCCGCACGCGUAAUGAAAGUGAACGUAGGUGAGAGCUUCGGCGCAUCAUCGACCGAUCCUGAUGUUUUCGGAUGGAUUUGAGUAGGAGCGUUAAGCCUUGGACCCGAAAGAUGGUGAACUAUGCUUGGAUAGGGUGAAGCCAGAGGAAACUCUGGUGGAGGCUCGCAGCGGUUCUGACGUGCAAAUCGAUCGUCAAAUCUGAGCAUGGGGGCGAAAGACUAAUCGAACCAUCUAGUAGCUGGUUACCGCCGAA